ACCCUUGUCAUUACUUGCUACAUUUAGUUGGGCAGUCUAAUGAGACUGCCGGUGACAAGCCGGAGGAAGGUGGGGAUGACGUCAAGUCCUCAUGGCCCUUAUAGGUGGGGCUACACACGUCAUACAAUGGCUGGUACAAAGGGUUGCCAACCCGCGAGGGGGAGCUAAUCCCACAAAGCCAGUCGUAGUCCGGAUCGUAGUCUGCAACUCGACUACGUGAAGUCGGAAUCGCUAGUAAUCGUGGAUCAGAAUGUCACGGUGAAUACGUUCCCGGGUCUUGUACACACCGCCCGU
rnacentral:rRNA from 1 species